rnacentral:tRNA from 1 species
GGUAGCAUGGCCGACUAGUCUAAGGCACUGGAUUAAGGCUGCAGUCUCUUUGGGGGUGUGGGUUCAAAUCCCACCACUACCA